rfam:Vigna radiata var. radiata cultivar VC1973A chromosome 2, whole genome shotgun sequence
AAAUGGCUAUGAGGAUAUUCAUUCAGCUUUAUGCCAGUUCUGCUUCUGAAAAUUUGUGAUUGAUAGAGCUGUUAUAUAUCUCUGAGCCUCCA